rnacentral:rRNA from 1 species
UACGAUGGAGGUGCAAGCGUUAAUCGGAAUUACUGGGCGUAAAGCGUGCGCAGGCGGUUUUGCAAGACAGAUGUGAAAUCCCCGGGCUUAACCUGGGAACUGCAUUUGUGACUGCAAGGCUAGAGUGUGUCAGAGGGAGGUGGAAUUCCGCGUGUAGCAGUGAAAUGCGUAGAGAUGCGGAGGAACACCGAUGGCGAAGGCAGCCUCCUGGGAUAACACUGACGCUCAUGCACGAAAGCGUGGGGAGCAAACAGG